UACGUAGGGGGCAAGCGUUGUCCGGAAUUAUUGGGCGUAAAGAGCGUGUAGGCGGCCAGAUAAGUCCGCUGUGAAAUCUCGAGGCUCAACUUCGAGCUGUCGGUGGAAACUAUCUGGCUAGAGUCCGGAAGAGGAGAAUGGAAUUCCUGGUGUAGCGGUGAAAUGCGCAGAUAUCUGGAGGAACACCGGUGGCGAAGGCGGCAUCCUGGACCGGUAUUGACGCUGAGGCGCGAAAGCUAGGGGAGCAAACGGG
rnacentral:rRNA from 1 species